AUUGAACGCUGGCGGAAUGCUUUACACAUGCAAGUCGAGCGGGGGAAGGUAGCUUGCUACCGGACCUAGCGGCGGACGGGUGAGUAAUGCUUAGGAAUCUGCCUAUUAGUGGGGGACAACAUCUCGAAAGGGAUGCUAAUACUGCAUACGUCGUACGGGAGAAAGCAGGGGAUCUUCGGACCUUGCGCUAAUAGAUGAGCCGAAGUCGGAUUAGCGAGUUGGUGGGGUAAAGGCCUACCAAGGCGACGAUCUGUAGCGGGUCUGAGAGGAUGAUCCGCCACACUGGGACUGAGACACGGCCCAGACUCCUACGGGAGGCAGCAGUGGGGAAUAUUGGACAAUGGGGGGAACCCUGAUCCAGCCAUGCCGCGUGUGUGAAGAAGGCCUUAUGGUUGUAAAGCACUUUAAGCGAGGAGGAGGCUACUCUAGUUAAUACCUAGGGAUAGUGGACGUUACUCGCAGAAUAAGCACCGGCUAACUCUGUGCCAGCCGCCGCCGUAA
rnacentral:rRNA from 1 species